rnacentral:misc_RNA from 1 species
GUGAGUCAUCGAAUCUUUGAACGCACAUUGCGCCCGCUAGUAUUCUGGCGGGCAUGCCUGUCCGAGCGUCAUUUCAACCCUCAAGCCCCUCCGGGCGUGGUGUUGGGGAUCGGCCCCGCUUGCGGCGGCCGGCCCCGAAAUGUAGUGGCGGUCUCGCCGCUGCCUCCUCUGCGUAGUAGUAACAUUCUCGCAUUGGGACGCGGCGCGGCCACGCCGUUAACCAGAUGAAUUUUCUUCAAGGUUGACCUCGGAUCAGGUAGGAAUACCCGCUGAACUUAAGCAUAUCAAUAAGCGGAGGA